AGGGGGGCACAAAAGGUCAGGUCCCCUGCAACCCCACAUUCAGACAGCAUGGGUGGCCCUGGAGGUGAGGAUGUGCCUUUAUGGUUGGACAUUGCAUCACUGAUUUCUCUAACCACACAGAUGGAUCCACUGUAAGGCCCCCCAACCUGACCACUGCUUGCACCAGGGGAGUCUCUUUGGGAAGUGUAUCCAGGAAGCUUAUUCUUAAUGACUGUGCUGAUGCUGGAUCCUGUGUCAUAAAGAGGCAACUCAUGAAGGUUUGGCCUUGAGAAGAAUAGCCAGGAGACUGCCAGCUACUAUCAAAGUGCUCACAAAGAGGUGAAGGGGACAGGGAAUAAUGUUGUUGGCUGGAUAACCUCAAGGAAGAGACGGAGAAAUCAAGGCAGCUGACAAAGUUAUUAGCGAUGCAGCGUUCUGACAGCAAGGUACUUUACACGCCGUACAAAGCCUUCCUGAGAAGGUAGGUUUCUCUGCACCACAACCAGGAUCUCAUUCACCAGGCCAGAGUGAAGAAGGAGAGACGAAUGAGUGAGGGCGGACAACUGUGACUAUGUAAGGUCCACAGCUGGGAGAAGAAUUCUGAUGCACCUUAGUAGUUCGACAGCCCAUGGAGUUCAGAGGAGACAUGGAAGAUGGAGG